AACGAACGCUGGCGGCAUGCCUAACACAUGCAAGUCGAACGAGAUCCUUCGGGUUCUUGUUGCGCACGGGUGCGUAACGCGUGGGAAUCUCCCCUUAGCUUCGGAAUAACAGUUAGAAAUGUCUGCUAAUACCGGAUGAUGCCGCUAAGUCCAAAGAUUUAUCGCCUGAGGAUGUGCCCGCGUAGGAUUAGCUAGUUGGCGUGGUAAAGGCGUACCAAUGCGACGGUACUUAGCUUGGCUGAGAGGAUGAGCAGCCACACUGGGACUGGGACACGGCCCAGACUACUACGGGAGGCAGCAGUGGGGAAUAUUGGACAAUGGGCGCAAGCCUGAACCAGCAAUGCCGCGUGAGUGAUGAAGGCCUUAGGGUUGUAAAGCUCUUUUACCCGGGAUGAUAAUGACAGUACCGGGAGAAUAAGCCCCGGCUAACUCCGUG
rnacentral:rRNA from 1 species